UUAGUGACGUUGAACAAUAAGUUGAGCCCAUUACAAAAGUCUCACCUCUGCCAGAAGCUGUUUGGAAGUGGAACAAUAAGUUGUGCAUUGGAGCGAAUUCAGAUUUCGGAACUUGUUUGGAGAUGAUGGUGAUCAAUACCGUCUUGUAAAGCGCCGAACACGGAAAGCGAAAGCCACAACACCCGAUGUAGGCGGUUCCUCAUCUACAGCAGCUGUUGAGGAAAUCGGCAACCCGAGCACCUACUGUGGCAACUCCAACACCUAAUGAGCCAGCUGCAGGUCAACACAUGCAUAAUGCAUCAUCUGAUGGGCCAACACCAGCAACUAGUGAGGGAAACACACUUUCAUCUGUGCCAGCUCGAGUAAUCACUGUGCCAAGUACAAUAUCAAGUGAGGCAACUGUAACUCCAGAUGUGCCACCCCCAGUAGCCAAUGUGCCACCUGAAGGUCAAACUAUGCCAACUGCAGGGCAUAUGUUGGAUGUUGGUGUGAACAAUCUUUUGUGCCUAUUGUGUAUCUAUUUUCAUCCGAUGUUGGUGUGAACAAUCUUUUAUGCA